AGAGCGAACGCUGGCGGCAGGCUUAACACAUGCAAGUCGAACGGAUUCUUCGGGAUUAGUGGCGGACGGGUGAGUAACACGUGGGAACGUGCCUUUAGGUUCGGAACAACACAGGGAAACUUGUGCUAAUACCGGAUGUGCCCUUCGGGGGAAAGAUUUAUCGCCUUUAGAGCGGCCCGCGUCUGAUUAGCUUGUUGGUGAGGUAAAGGCUCACCAAGGCUACGAUCAGUAGCUGGUCUGAGAGGAUGGCCAGCCACAUUGGGACUGAGACACGGCCCAAACUCCUACGGGAGGCAGCAGUGGGGAAUCUUGCGCAAUGGGGGAAACCCUGACGCAGCCAUGCCGCGUGGAUGAUGAAGGUCUUAGGAUUGUAAAAUCCUUUCAGCGGGGACGAUAAUGACGGUACCCGCAGAAGAGCCCCGGCUAACUUCGUGCCAGCAGCCGC
rnacentral:rRNA from 1 species